rnacentral:rRNA from 1 species
GCAUUGAGGCAGUCAAAGUAGGCAAAUCCGCUUUGAUAAUGCUGGGAUGUGAUGGGGAGCGAAAUUUAGUAGCGAAGUAGCUGAUUUCACACUGUCAAGAAAAGUCUCUAUCGAGGUUAAAGGUACCCGUACCGCAAACCGACACAGGUGGGUGAGGAGAGUAUCCUAAGGCCAGCGAGAGAACUGUUGUUAAGGAACUCGGCAAAAUGACCCCGUAACUUAGGGAUAAGGGGUGCCACCAUCAGGUGGCCGCAGAGAAUAGGCCCAAGCGACUGUUUACCAAAAACAUAGGUUUCUGCUAAGUCGCAAGACGAUGUAUAGGAGCUGACGCCUGCCCGGUGCUGGAAGGUUAAGGGGAUCUGUUAGAGCAAUCGAAGCAGUGAACUUAAGCCCCAGUAAACGGCGGCCGUAACUAUAACGGUCCUAAGGUAGCGAAAUUCCUUGUCGGGUAAGUUCCGACCCGCACGAAAGGCGUAACGAUUUGGGCACUGUCUCAACAACAGACUCGGUGAAAUUGUAAUUCCGGUGAAGAUGCCGGAUACCUGCGACAGGACGGAAAGACCCCAUGGAGCUUUACUGUAGCUUGACAUUGGGUCUUGGUACUACAUGUACAGGAUAGGUGGGAGGCUUUGAAACCAGGACGCCAGUUUUGGCGGAGCCAUCCUUGGGAUACCACCCUUGUAGUACUGGGACUCUAACCAUAGGCCAUGAAUCUGGUCUUGGGACACUGUCAGGUGGGCAGUUUGACUGGGGCGGUCGCCUCCCAAAAGGUAACGGAGGCGCUCAAAGGUUCUCUCAGUACGGUCGGAAAUCGUACGUAGAGUGUAAAGGCAAAAGAGAGCUUGAUUGCAAGACAUACAGGUCGAGCAAGGAUGAAAAUCGGACUUAGUGAUCCGGUGGUUCUGCGUGGAAGGGCCAUCGCUCAACGGAUAAAAGCUACCCUGGGGAUAACAGGCUUAUCUCCCCCAAGAGUCCACAUCGACGGGGAGGUUUGGCACCUCGAUGUCGGCUCAUCACAUCCUGGGGCUGUAGUAGGUCCCAAGGGUUGGGCUGUUCGCCCAUUAAAGUGGUACGCGAGCUGGGUUCAGAACGUCGUGAGACAGUUCGGUCCCUAUCCGUCGCAGGCGUAGGAAAUUUGAGAAGACCUGUCCUUAGUACGAGAGGACCGGGAUGGACGUACCUCUGGUGUACCAGUUGUCCUGCCAAG